rnacentral:lncRNA from 1 species
CUGGGAGCACUUUAAUUUCACUCUAGACAAUACCUCUUUAAUCAUGUUCUGAGGGAAUUUAUAAAUUCCCAGUAGAUGAAAGCUAGUUUAUUUUUCAAAUGGAGAUGUAGUCACUUUGAUUUGGGGUACUGGGAGAGAAGGGUGCAAUUUUCUUAUGAAACAAACGACUCCAGCCAUCACCAACCAGCCUCCUGCCUUCUCCCAUCUGAAGCAGAAGCACCGUGACUCAGUGUGAAGCUUACUGAGCAGUACUCUGGAUGCUUUCUCUCUCAUUUGACUUGAGGUGAAAAGGAUGCUCACCCUAAUCUCCCUGGGGUGGGGUUGCCCUGCAUACUGAAAGCCCUCUCUGUAAGUUCUCAUUGCAGACCAGUACCACUUCUCUUCCCUAAUGCCUCUGAACUUCAACUUUCUAAUUUGUCGAACUUUCAGGAAUAUUGUAAGAAUUAUAUGAAAUUAAUAGUGUGAUAAUGCUUUGAAAACCAUAACCUGCUGGACACGUUUGAUUACUACUACAACACUAAUUAUUUUCCAUUGUAGACUCAUCUAAAAAUUCAGGUAAUUUUGAAUCAAAUACCCAAUUUUUCCCUCUAAAUUUCUAUCACUUUACUGACUUUCUUCCUUCAUUCUUGUUUUUUUCCCCUUAGAAUCCAAUUCCAUUUUAAAUGCACUAGUGGUUGAAGUAUAGAGACAUAGAUGUACAUAAAUAGCCUAUCAUUUGCAAAUCCCUGCAUAAAUUUAUGAUUUCAGGGUUUUCUAACCAAGCCAACAAAAUUAGCAUACUUAUUUGGCACAGGCAAGCUCAGCCUGGGACUAAUCAUUUUUUUCUUCUUUAUAUAACAUUGAUGUGCU